GCCCUCGAGGCCCGAACGGAGCGGGCGCCGGACUACGAAUCCGGAGGUUGCAGGUUCGAGUCCUGCCGAGGGUG
rnacentral:tRNA from 1 species